UACGUAGGGGACAAGCGUUAUCCGGAUUUACUGGGUGUAAAGGGAGCGUAGACGGUUGGAUAAGUCAGAUGCGAAAGCUCGGGGCUCAACCCCGGGACUGCAUUUGAAACUAUUGAACUAGAGUGCAGGAGAGGUAAGUGGAAUUCCUAGUGUAGCGGUGAAAUGCGUAGAUAUUAGGAGGAACACCAGUGGCGAAGGCGGCUUACUGGACUGUAACUGACGUUGAGGCUCGAAAGCGUGGGGAGCAAACAGG
rnacentral:rRNA from 1 species